AUUGAACGCUGGCGGCAGGCCUAACACAUGCAAGUCGAACGAGUGGCGGACGGGUGAGUAAUGUCUGGGAAACUGCCUGAUGGAGGGGGAUAACUACUGGAAACGGUAGCUAAUACCGCAUACCAUCGGAUGUGCCCAGAUGGGAUUAGCUAGUUGGGGGGGUAAAGGCUCACCAAGGCGACGAUCCCUAGCUGGUCUUAGAGGCUGACCAGCCACACUGGAACUGAGACACGGCCCAGACUCCUACGGGAGGCAGCAGUGGGGAAUAUGUCACAAUGGGCGAAAGCCUGAUGGAGCCAGGCCGCGUGGAUGAAGAAGGCCUUCGGGUUGUAAAGUACUUUCAUCAAGGAAGCGGUACUCGCCGAAAAAGCCACGGCUAACUCCGUGCCAGCAGCCGCGGUAAUAC
rnacentral:rRNA from 1 species